GUGCAGCAGGCGAGAAACCUCCGCAAUGCGCGCAAGCGCGACGGGGCCAUCCCGAGUGCCGCUCGCUGAGGGCGGCUUUUCUCCGGUGUAAGUAGCCGGAGGAAUAAGGAGAGGGCAAGUCUGGUGUCAGCCGCCGCGGUAAUACCAGCUCUCCGAGUGGUGGGGACGAUUAUUGGGCCUAAAAGCGUCCGUAGCCGGCUUGACAAGUCUCCCGUUAAAUCCAGCGGCCUAACCGCUGGGCUGCGGGAGAUACUGUCAAGCUUGGGGGCGGGAGAGGCCAGCGGUAUUCCCGGGGUAGGGGUGAAAUCCGUUAAUCCCGGGAGGACCACCAGUGGCGAAGGCGGCCGGCCGGAACGCGCCCGACGGUGAGGGACGAAAGCUGGGGGAGCGAACCGGAUUAGAUACCCCGUAGU
rnacentral:rRNA from 1 species